GUGCCAGCAGCCGCGGUGAUACGGAGGGUGCAAGCGUUAAUCGGAAUUACUGGGCGUAAAGCGCACGCAGGCGGUUUGUUAAGUCAGAUGUGAAAUCCCCGGGCUCAACCUGGGAACUGCAUCUGAUACUGGCAAGCUUGAGUCUCGUAGAGGGGGGUAGAAUUCCAGGUGUAGCGGUGAAAUGCGUAGAGAUCUGGAGGAAUACCGGUGGCGAAGGCGGCCCCCUGGACAAAGACUGACGCUCAGGUGCGAAAGCGUGGGGAGCAAACAGGAUUAGAUACCCUGGUAGUCCACGCCGUAAACGAUGUCGAUUUGGAGGUUGUGGCUUCCGGAGCUAACGCGUUAAAUCGACCGCCUGGGGAGUACGGCCGCAAGGUUAAAACUCAAAUGAAUUGACGGGGGCCCGCACAAGCGGUGGAGCAUGUGGUUUAAUUCGAUGCAACGCGAAGAACCUUACCUGGUCUUGACAUCCAGGUGCUGCAUGGCUGUCGUCAGCUCGUGUUGUGAAAUGUUGGGUUAAGUCCCGCAACGAGCGCAACCCUUAUCCUUUGUUGCAACUCAAAGGAGACUGCCAGUGAUAAACUGGAGGAAGGUGGGGAUGACGUCAAGUCAUCAUGGCCCCUACGACCAGG
rnacentral:rRNA from 1 species